rnacentral:miRNA from 1 species
ACCCCACGCUCGGCGCCA